rnacentral:rRNA from 1 species
UACGUAGGGUGCGAGCGUUAAUCGGAAUUACUGGGCGUAAAGCGUGCGCAGGCGGUGAGCUGUGUCCGAUGUGAAAGCCCCGGGCUUAACCUGGGAAUGGCAUUGGAAACUGGCUCGCUGGAGUGUGGCAGAGGGGGGUGGAAUUCCGCGUGGUAGCAGUGAAAUGCGUAGAGAUGUGGAGGAACACCGAUGGCGAAGGCAGCCCCCUGGGGUCAAGACUGACGCUCAUGCACGAAAGCGUGGGGGAGCAAACAGG